CCUACGGGGGGCUGCAGUAGGGAAUAUUGGGCAAUGGAGGCAACUCUGACCCAGCGACGCCGCGUGGAGGAUGAAGGUCUUCGGAUUGUAAACUUCUGUUCUUAGGGAGAAAGAAAAUGAUAGUACCUAAGGAGCAAGCCACGGCAAACUAUGUGCCAGCAGCCGCGGUAAUACAUAGGUGGCAAGCGUUGUCCGGAAUGACUGGGCGUAAAGGGAGUGUAGGCGGUAGUGCAAGUUAUAUGUGAAAGCCCUUGGCUUAACCAAGGAAUUGCAUAUAAUACUGUGCAACUUAGAGUAUGGGAGAGGAAGAUGGAAUUUCUAGUGUAGCGGUUAAAUGCUUAGAUAUUAGAAGGAACACCAGAGGCGAAGGCGGUCUUCUGGCCCAAUACUGACGCUGAGGCUCGAAAGCGUGGGGAGCAAACAGGCUUAGAUACCCUGGUAGUC
rnacentral:rRNA from 1 species